rnacentral:rRNA from 1 species
CUUCCAGCGGACCUCACUAAGUUCCUGGCGCAGUCCUACCAGCCAGAGAGCUCUGAAAUGGUUUUCCCAGGAAGGGGAAGGAUCCCUGUCGAUGCUGACAGUGUUCACAGGGUAUUUGAUCUCCCAAACAGGGGUCAAAAAGUCAGAUAUGUAGUUGACAAGGAUUCAACUAGGAGAUUCAGAGAGGCUUUCAACAUAACUAGAAAUUCUCAUCCCCAGAUCACUACAUGGUGCAAGAUGAUUCAGGAUAUGGCUGGAAGAACGGAUGACACAUUCUUUAUGGCCUGGCUUACAGUUGCCUUCAACACUUUUCUAGCACCAACCACAGCCCUGAAGCUCAGCCCAAAGUGCUAUACGAACUUGUGCUAG